rnacentral:rRNA from 1 species
UACGUAGGGGGCAAGCGUUGUCCGGAAUCAUUGGGCGUAAAGAGCGUGUAGGCGGCCCGGUAAGUCCGCUGUGAAAGUCCAGGGCUCAACCCUGGGAUGCCGGUGGAUACUGUCGGGCUCGAGUCCGGAAGAGGAGAGUGGAAUUCCUGGUGUAGCGGUGAAAUGCGCAGAUAUCAGGAAGAACACCCGUGGCGAAGGCGGCUCUCUGGGACGGUACUGACGCUGAGACGCGAAAGCGUGGGGAGCAAACAGG